GGUUCACAAACCCCGGCCCUUCGCGCCUUAAUUAAAAAAAAAAAAAAAAAAAAAAAACAAAACGGAAAAAACCGGUGCGCCAGGUGGCGUGAAGUCGCACCAGGCGGGAGCACGGAGGUGCUCACGCUUCGCGCUUGAGUUUGGAGCUCAAGUUUGGAGUUUGCUUUGAGUUUGGAGCUGGGUUCUGCGCUUGCAGGAUUUUCUGGGUCCUGCAGUAGUACGGUGCACGUGUACGGAGCACGUUUGCCGGUGGUGCGGGUACCCAAUGCCCAGACCUGCAGCCCUUGUCGGGAGUUCGGUGGGGCACUGUGCCUUUAGCCGCUCCGGGCAAGUAAGGGCUGCGGAGCCACCCUGCUACGGCGGACCCACUCUGGCGCCGCUUCGCAGACCUCCGAGGAAUGAGCCCUGCACUCUGCAGAUACAUAGGGUUUAACGCUUCUCCCACGCCCCAGAUUCCCGACCCUCAAUUAUGGACUCCCGAGAAUUCCUCCCCGGCUUGAAAGGGAUUACCCAGAUCAUAGAAACAUGGCUAAGUGGAGGUGAGAGAAACCCGGCAAGCAACAAGAAUUGAAACUUCUCAACGAAUUUCCCAGUUUGUAACAGGAAAGCGCAUCUGAACUCUUGCGACUGGAUUUUCGCAGUGGAGGCCGUUUUGACUUUAGGGAGGAGAUGGCAAACGCUAUUGAAGUGGGUAUGGGGUAGCUCCAGGCCCAGCAGACAGGCUCCACAUAAGUCCUUCUCCAAACAUCAAACAUUGGUUAACACCACACUUCCCCAGAACUAGGGUCCCCAGCGCCACCGUCUAAAGUCCAAGUCUCUGGGCGGGUAUCUCAGUACUAGAGGAUUUGCAGCUAGGAAGGAGUUUAAGUCUAUGUGGAAUAAUGAAGAUGGGUCCCUGUAGUCGGGAGUUGGAGCAUGGGGUUUUCAGGGCAAGGCUCCAGACAUCCAGUCUAUUAUUGCGAGACAGAAUUAAUUCAGCAGCUCCGUUUGACAUGGAAAAGAGGAGAGAGAGAGAGAGAGAGAGAGAGAGACAGAGAGAGAGAGAGAGACAGAGAGAGAGAGAGACAGAGACAGAGAGAGACAGAGAGAGACAGAGAGAGACAGAGAGAGACAGAGAAGGAAGAGGAGGAGGAGGAGGAGGAGGAGAAUAUGUUGUAUGCAUGGGUAUAUGUAGGUCACGAGGAAUCCUUAUUUCAGCAAGACCAUGGGCACGUGAGGCCCAGCCUGCCCGUCUGUCUCCAUUCCAUUUCUCAGUGCUGACAUUAUAGAACCCCUGAUCCCUCUUCCCUCUUUACAUGGGUUCUGGGGAUUCAAACCCAGAUCCUCAUGUUGUGUAGUUGGUAUUUUACUUACUGAGGCACCGUGCCAGACCCUGAACAAGUUUUAAUUGGCGCUGACCAUAGUUUAGUACAUCUAUUACUUGUCUCUGACUCCAGGACUGGAGAAAGGGUCUGCUCACUGAAGCUAAAGCUAAGCAGCAAACAUCAGCACCAGCCUUGGGCCCUGGGAAAGAGGCAGAGCUGAAGAGACCCUAGGAUCUCGGGUACCACUUAUAAAUUACUGGCUGGUAGGAGCCUGCAGAGGGAAGGUGUGAAGAAGUGACCCACUGAUCCUGCUGGCUGGGCACCCAGCUCUCAAUCUGCACCAGAAGCCCAGCCCACCAGCCCCACCUCUUAGAAAUUUUCCAUUAGGAAAACUAAUCUGGAUGAAAUUUGGGCCCCAAGAAGAAAGGGGGUGGGGCCAGGCUGCCCCACAUCUGUUUGAAUUUUCCGCUUCAGAUGUUUGGGUCUGUUCUUGCCAAGCUGCUCACCCUGUGCCUACCUGAGCCCAUCCCCAGCAGAAACCAACUUUCCGGUAGAUCAAGGCCCCCACAGAUGUUUCUCCCAGGAUAGGCUCCGAGAAAGCUGGUGCUAUAAAAGCAGAUCAGAGAUCAGAGAUCUAGCCACCACCAAGGUGUGUGUGAAGGGGGAGAGCCCUCCAGUUCCUGGCUGUCUCCAGCCUCUAAGUGAAAUUUAAGAGCUUCAACCUCCUGAGCUAUGGGAGGAAACAGAAAAUCUUGAAUCCUUGGAGAUUGGAAACAUUCAUUUCUACGCCAUUAUCUGCACAGGCAAUCGGUGGGAUGUGCGCUGUGCGCUUACUUCAGCAAGCCUUAUUCCCACCCAGCUUCACAGAUCCAACUGUCUCUAACUGGAAGUCUUUUCUGGUAUGAACUGCCC
rnacentral:lncRNA from 1 species